CCUACGGGAGACAGCAGUGAGGAAUAUUGGUCAAUGGACGGGAGUCUGAACCAGCCAAGUAGCGUGAAGGAUGACUGCCCUAUGGGUUGUAAACUUCUUUUAUAUGGGAAUAAAAUGCUGGACGUGUGCGGUUUUGUAUGUACCUUAUGAAUAAGGAUCGGCUAACUCCGUGCCAGCAGCCGCGGUAAUACGGAGGAUCCGAGCGUUAUCCGGAUUUAUUGGGUUUAAAGGGGGCGUAGGUGGAUUGUUAAGUCAGUUGUGAAAGUGUGCGGCUCAACCGUAAAAUUGCAGUUGAACCUGGGAGUCUUGAGUACAGUAGAGGUAGGCGGAAUGCGUGGUGUAGCGGUGAAAUGCUUAGAUAUCACGAAGAACUCCGAUUGCGAAGGCAGCUCACUGGACUGCAACUGACGCUGAGGCACGAAAGUGUGGGUAUCAAACAGGAUUAGAUACCCUAGUAGUC
rnacentral:rRNA from 1 species